rnacentral:lncRNA from 1 species
AGCCACGAAAUUGAGGUACGCAGAAGAUGAACAAACCUGAGAACUGAUGAUCCAAAGAAGAGUCGGAGCUCGAGCAUCACAUAGUCGUCAGCUAUGGUGGCUUGUAGGCGGAUGUGUCUCACACCUAAGUUUUUGCCGCUGGACCGUGGUUACGUUCAUCCUAGCUUGGAGGCAACGGUGUGGGUGGGUAUGCAUGUGCAGGGCGAAGAAGUGGACGAAGGCCGAAGAAGCAAUCUCUGCCUCCCUAUCGCUGCGUCCUGCUCCUCAAUAUGUCACCUUAGUCAUGGCCGCCUUAUCCCUCAUGCUGCUGAUUUGAAUCUGCCCUACUCUUCUUCUCCUAGACUGCUCGAGCGCUUCAGCGGGUGCCUUGCCGACGACAGGGAAGGAAGGACCAGAGUAAGUAUAAUAUGGAAGUUCCUGUUCAAAUUAGUAGAAUAUGCUUACCAGGUGUUAGAAUUUAUAGAUAUAUACCACAAUUUUCACUACAGAUUAAAUAUAAUAUGAAAGUUCUUGUCAGUUUUCUUUGUAGUUAGUUUGCGACAAUCACAACAUGAUCAUUUGAAUAUUUUGUUGUAACAAAUCUAUUAUAGCUAUUGUUGUGAAAGAAAAAUCCUUAAAAAAUCACCCAAUAGCAACCCGAGGAAGUUAAGAGACAUAAAUGAUCCAGAUAUGGUUCCAUUAUGCUCCCUCUGUUUGAUAAUAUAUGACGUUUUCUGGCAGUACACAAUGCCAAAAACGUCUUAUAUUAUGGGACAGAAGCGAGUUUGUGAUUCUUUUGGUUAUUCUUGAUUCCACAUGCUUCAUUUGGGUGAAUAAUCCAUUGGCAUCCAAAUUUGGAGAUUAAUUCACCUAUUUAAUGUGCAUAGUCAAUGACACAUUUUUGCUAUGAUGAAUAUGUAAAUAAAUUUUGUACAAUUCCAUAAAUACACAGUUAAGCGUUUUUGUUGUAAAGAUAAUGUAGAUAAUUUUUAUAGCUUUGCAAAUAAGAUUAACCUUGGUGUAUAAAUCCGAUCAGAGUAGAGGUAGCUAUGCAAUGGUCUUGCGUCACAUCAUUAGUCUAAGGCUCUAACCACAUUCAUGGAGAAUCUAACAUCCCAACUACGCAUAUCUGUUUGUUCCGGAAGCCAAGAAAUUGAGGGACGCAGAAGAUGAACAAACCUGAGAAUUGAUGAUCGAAUGAAGAGUCGGAGCUCGAGCAUCACAUAGCCGUCAGCUAUGGUGGCUUGUGGGCGGAUGUUUCUCAGACCUAAGUUGUUGCCGCUGGACCGUGGUUACAUUCAUCCUAGCUUGGAGGAAACGGUGCGGGAAGAUAUGCAUGUGCAGGGCGAAGAAGUGGACGAAGGCCGAAGUAGCAAUCUCUGCCUCCCUAUCGCUGCGUCCUUCUCCUCAAUAUGUCACCUUAGUCAUGGCCGCCUUAUCCCUCAUGCUGCUGAUUUGAAUCUGCCCUACUCUUCUUCUCCUAGACUGCUCGAGCGCUUCAGCGGGUGCCUUCCCAACGACAGGGAAGGAAGGACCAGAGUAAGUAUAAUAUGGAAGUUCCUGUUCAAAUUAGUAGAAUAUGCUUACCAGGUGUUAGAAUUUAUAGAUAUAUACCACAAUUUUCACUACAGAUUAAAUAUAAUAUGAAAGUUCUUGUCAGUUUUCUUUGUAGUUAGUUUGCGACAAUCACAACAUGAUCAUUUGAAUAUUUUGUUGUAACAAAUCUAUUAUAGCUAUUGUUGUGAAAGAAAAAUCCUUAAAAAAUCACCCAAUAGCAACCCGAGGAAGUUAAGAGACAUAAAUGAUCCAGAUAUGGUUCCAUUAUGCUCCCUCUGUUCGAUAAUAUAUGACGUUUUCUGGCAGUACACAAUGCCAAAAACGUCUUAUAUUAUGGGACAGAAGCGAGUUUGUGAUUUUUUUGGUUAUUCUAGAUUCCACAUGCUUCAUUUGGGUGAAUAAUCCAUUGGCAUCCAAAUUUGGAGAUUAAUUCACCUAUGUAAUGUGCAUAAUCAAUGACACAUUUUUGCUAUGAUGAAUAUGUAAAUAAAUUUUGUACAAUUCCAUAAAUACACAGUUAAGCAUUUUUGUUGUAAAGAUAAUGUAGAUAAUUUUUUAUAGCUUUGCAAAUAAGAUUAACCUUGGUGUAUAAAUCCGAUCAGAGUAGAGGUAGCUAUGCAAUGGUCUUGCAUCACAUCAUUAGUCUAAGGCUCUAACCACAUUCAUGGAGAAUCUAACAUCCCAACUACGCAUAUCUGUUUGUUCCAGAAGCCAAGAAAUUGAGGUACGCAGAAGAUGAACAAACCUGAGAACUGAUGAUCGAAUGAAGAGUCGGAGCUCGAGCAUCACAUAGCCGUCAGCUAUGGUGGCUUGUGGGCGGAUGUUUCUCAGACCUAAGUUGUUGUCGCUGGACCGUGGUUACAUUCAUCCUAGCUUGGAGGCAACGGUGUGGGUGGGUAUGCAUGUGCAGGGCGAAGAAGUGGACGAAGGCCGAAGAAGCAAUCUCUGCCUCCCUAUCGCUGCGUCCUGCUCCUCAAUAUGUCACCUUAGUCAUGGCCGCCUUAUCCCUCAUGCUGCUGAUUUGAAUCUGCCCUACUCUUCUUCUCCUAGACUGCUCGAGCGCUUCAGCGGGUGCCUUGCCGACGACAGGGAAGGAAGGACCAGAGUAAGUAUAAUAUGGAAGUUCCUGUUCAAAUUAGUAGAAUAUGCUUACCAGGUGUUAGAAUUUAUAGAUAUAUACCACAAUUUUCACUACAGAUUAAAUAUAAUAUGAAAGUUCUUGUCAGUUUUCUUUGUAGUUAGUUUGCGAAAAUCACAACAUGAUCAUUUGAAUAUUUUGUUGUAACAAAUCUAUUAUAGCUAUUGUUGUGAAAGAAAAAGCCUUAAAAAAUCACCCAAUAGCAACCCGAGGAAGUUAAGAGACAUAAAUGAUCCACAUAUGGUUCCAUUAUGCUCCCUCUGUUCGAUAAUAUAUGACGUUUUCUGGCAGUACACAAUGCCAAAAACGUCUUAUAUUAUGGGACAGAAGCGAGUUUGUGAUUCUUUUGGUUAUUCUUGAUUCCACAUGCUUCAUUUGGGUGAAUAAUCCAUUGGCAUCCAAAUUUGGAGAUUAAUUCACCUAUUUAAUGUGCAUAAUCAAUGACACAUUUUUGCUAUGAUGAAUAUGUAAAUAAAUUUUGUACAAUUCCAUAAAUACACAGUUAAGCGUUUUUGUUGUAAAGAUAAUGUAGAUAAUUUUUAUAGCUUUGCAAAUAAGAUUAACCUUGGUGUAUAAAUCCGAUCAGAGUAGAGGUAGCUAUGCAAUGGUCUUGCGUCACAUCAUUAGUCUAAGGCUCUAACCACAUUCAUGGAGAAUCUAACAUCCCAACUACGCAUAUCUGUUUGUUCCGGAAGCCAAGAAAUUGAGGUACGCAGAAGAUGAACAAACCUGAGAACUGAUGAUCCAAAGAAGAGUCGGAGCUCGAGCAUCACAUAGCCGUCAGCUAUGGUGGCUUGUAGGCGGAUGUGUCUCAGACCUAAGUUUUUGCCGCUGGACCGUGGUUACGUUCAUCCUAGCUUGGAGGCAAUGGUGCGGGUGGGUAUGCAUGUGCAGGGCGAAGAAGUGGACGAAGGCCGAAGUAGCAAUCUCUGCCUCCCUAUCGCUGCGUCCUGCUCCUCAAUAUGUCACCUUAGUCAUGGCCGCCUUAUCCCUCAUGCUGCUGAUUUGAAUCUGCCCUACUCUUCUUCUCCUAGACUGCUCGAGCGCUUCAGCGGGUGCCUUCCCAACGACAGGGAAGGAAGGACCAGAGUAAGUAUAAUAUGGAAGUUCCUGUUCAAAUUAGUAGAAUAUGCUUACCAGGUGUUAGAAUUUAUAGAUAUAUACCACAAUUUUCACUACAGAUUAAAUAUAAUAUGAAAGUUCUUGUCAGUUUUCUUUGUAGUUAGUUUGCGACAAUCACAACAUGAUCAUUUGAAUAUUUUGUUGUAACAAAUCUAUUAUAGCUAUUGUUGUGAAAGAAAAAUCCUUAAAAAAUCACCCAAUAGCAACCCGAGGAAGUUAAGAGACAUAAAUGAUCCAGAUAUGGUUCCAUUAUGCUCCCUCUGUUCGAUAAUAUAUGACGUUUUCUGGCAGUACACAAUGCCAAAAACGUCUUAUAUUAUGGGACAGAAGCGAGUUUGUGAUUUUUUUGGUUAUUCUUGAUUCCACAUGCUUCAUUUGGGUGAAUAAUCCAUUGGCAUCCAAAUUUGGAGAUUAAUUCACCUAUGUAAUGUGCAUAAUCAAUGACACAUUUUUGCUAUGAUGAAUAUGUAAAUAAAUUUUGUACAAUUCCAUAAAUACACAGUUAAGCAUUUUUGUUGUAAAGAUAAUGUAGAUAAUUUUUUAUAGCUUUGCAAAUAAGAUUAACCUUGGUGUAUAAAUCCGAUCAGAGUAGAGGUAGCUAUGCAAUGGUCUUGCGUCACAUCAUUAGUCUAAGGCUCUAACCACAUUCAUGGAGAAUCUAACAUCCCAACUACGCAUAUCUGUUUGUUCCAGAAGCCAAGAAAUUGAGGUACGCAGAAGAUGAACAAACCUGAGAAUUGAUGAUCGAAUGAAGAGUCGGAGCUCGAGCAUCACAUAGCCGUCAGCUAUGGUGGCUUGUGGGCGGAUAUUUCUCAGACCUAAGUUGUUGCCGCUGGACCGUGGUUACAUUCAUCCUAGCUUGGAGGAAAUGGUGCGGGAAGAUAUGCAUGUGCAGGGCGAAGAAGUGGACGAAGGCCGAAGCAGCAAUCUCUGCCUCCCUAUCGCUGCGUCCUGCUCCUCAAUAUGUCACCUUAGUCAUGGCCGCCUUAUCCCUCAUGCUGCUGAUUUGAAUCUGCCCUACUCUUCUUCUCCUAGACUGCUCGAGCGCUUCAGCGGGUGCCUUGCCGACGACAGGGAAGGAAGGACCAGAGCAAGUAUAAUAUGGAAGUUCCUGUUCAAAUUAGUAGAAUAUGCUUACCAGGUGUUAGAAUUUAUAGAUAUAUACCACAAUUUUCACUACAGAUUAAAUAUAAUAUGAAAGUUCUUGUCAGUUUUCUUUGUAGUUAGUUUGCGACAAUCACAACAUGAUCAUUUGAAUAUUUUAUUAUAGCUAUUGUUGUGAAAGAAAAAUCCUUAAAAAAUCACCCAAUAGCAACCUGAGGAAGUUAAGAGACAUAAAUGAUCCAGAUAUGGUUCCAUUAUGCUCCCUCUGUUCGAUAAUAUAUGACGUUUUCUGGCAGUACACAAUGCCAAAAACGUCUUAUAUUAUGGGACAGAAGCGAGUUUGUGAUUUUUUUGGUUAUUCUUGAUUCCACAUGCUUCAUUUGGGUGAAUAAUCCACUGGCAUCCAAAUUUGGAGAUUAAUUCACCUAUGUAAUGUGCAUAAUCAAUGACACAUUUUUGCUAUGAUGAAUAUGUAAAUAAAUUUUGUACAAUUCCAUAAAUACACAGUUAAGCAUUUUUGUUGUAAAGAUAAUGUAGAUAAUUUUUUAUAGCUUUGCAAAUAAGAUUAACCUUGGUGUAUAAAUCCGAUCAGAGUAGAGGUAGCUAUGCAAUGGUCUUGCAUCACAUCAUUAGUCUAAGGCUCUAACCACAUUCAUGGAGAAUCUAACAUCUCAACUACGCAUAUCUGUUUGUUGCAGAAGCCACGAAAUUGAGGUACGCAGAAGAUGAACAAACCUGAGAACUGAUGAUCCAAAGAAGAGUCGGAGCUCGAGCAUCACAUAGCUGUCAGCUAUGGUGGCUUGUAGGCGGAUGUGUCUCAGACCUAAGUUUUUGCCGCUGGACCGUGGUUACGUUCAUCCUAGCUUGGAGGCAACGGUGUGGGUGGGUAUGCAUGUGCAAGGCGAAGAAGUGGACGAAGGCCGAAGAAGCAAUCUCUGCCUCCCUAUCGCUGCGUCCUGCUCCUCAAUAUGUCACCUUAGUCAUGGCCGCCUUAUCCCUCAUGCUGCUGAUUUGAACCUACCCUACUCUUCUUCUCCUAGACUGCUCGAGCGCUUCAGCGGUGCCUCGCUGACGACAGGGAAGGAAGGAUCAGAAGUGACGGCUAUAGCCCUAGGAAUUUGGAAACCAUAGGAAUUGAUCUUCUUUAUAAAACGUGUGUGGCAAGGGACGUGGAACCUGCUUCAGGGAAGACGAGAUGGAUCAUGUGAGAGAAGGGACCAGUUUUUUUUGCCAAUUGCCUAGUCCAUAUUGUCCAUGUAUUCGAAGCAUGCAAACGUGUGGCUCCUGGAGUUUGUAUUGCUCUUGGAUAUGUGUAAGCGUUUGGUUUUUUAUUUUUCCCUUUUUUGCUUUCCAAUUCGGACAUGCAUCAGUUCGUACCUGAUUGUAUUAGACUCAAACAAUACGUGUCCAAGUUUUAUUGCUCUUGGAUAUGUGUAAGCGUUUUGUUUUUUAUUUUUCCCUUUUUUGCUCUCCAAUUCGGACAUGCAUCAGUUCGUACCUGAUUGUAUUGGACUCAAACAAUACGUGUCCAAGUUUUUUUAAAACAAUAUGUGUCCAUGUAUUUCUUCCCGUGCGCCCUAGUGUUAUGGUUCUAUAUGCAUCUAACGUGGCAACAUAAAGGUUCAAUAUUGCUGGUACAUAUAUUUUUACAUGUUACAUAGAAACUUUAAAUCUCAGCCGUUGUUAUUCUAAUCAAAUGGUGUAAAAACGAUUAGCAUAUAUGGACAAACGUGAUGGCUUAUUUUACUCUUGUUUUAAUUAUAUAUAUAAUAGAUGGCCGCAGCUAGGCGUAGGUCGGGUGAUAUGCUGGAUUUGUAAACCGCGUUCGCGUCCGUCC